rnacentral:rRNA from 1 species
AUUGAACGCUGGCGGCAGGCCUAACACAUGCAAGUCGAGCGGCAGCGGAAAGUAGCUUGCUACUUUGCCGGCGAGCGGCGGACGGGUGAGUAAUGUCUGGGGAUCUGCCUGAUGGAGGGGGAUAACUACUGGAAACGGUAGCUAAUACCGCAUAACGUCGCAAGACCAAAGUGGGGGACCUUCGGGCCUCACGCCAUCGGAUGAACCCAGAUGGGAUUAGCUAGUAGGUGGGGUAAUGGCUCACCUAGGCGACGAUCCCUAGCUGGUCUGGGAGGAUGACCGGCCACACUGGGACUGAGACACGGCCCAGACUCCUACGGGAGGCAGCAGUGGGGAAUAUUGCACAAUGGGCGCAAGCCUGAUGCAGCCAUGCCGCGUGUGUGAAGAAGGCCUUCGGGUUGUAAAGCACUUUCAGCGAGGAGGAAGGGUGGUGUGUUAAUAGCACACGACAUUGACGUUACUCGCAGAAGAAGCACCGGCUAACUCCGUGCCAGCCGCCGCCGUAA